ACAUAAGCUUUGGCUAGAUUGGGUUUCUUAUCUCAUGCACUGACUGGCUAGGGAUGCUCUCUGUUUGAUGUGUGCAUGAGCGAAUUUGUGAAUGCAAGGAAUAGGCAAUUUUUUGAAUUAGUUAUUGUUUUUUGUUUUUAAUUUAAUUAAUAUAUAUAUAUUAACCUUGUCAAAACUAGUACAGACAAGGGGAAUCUGACUUUUUAAUUAAAACAAAGCAUUGUGAUGGUCCCUAUGGAUGUUGACACAAUGUGAUUUAUGCCCAUUUCUCUGGAUGUCAAAGUGAAUAAAAUCAACCAAGCACGGGUAAAGGACGGGAGUAACUUUGAAUCUCUUAAGGUAGCCAGAUUCCUCAUCAUCUAAUUAGUGAUGCACAUGAAUGGAUUAAAGAGAUUCCCACUG
rnacentral:ncRNA from 1 species